UCGCUCGGCCGGGAGGGGCCUGCGCCCCCGGCGCCCACAGGUGCGGCGACCCCGGCUUCCCGGGUUCCCCGAGCGCCUCCCUGGCCGCCGGCCGCCUGAGCCCCGCGAGCAGUAGGAGGGAGAGGCUGGGGCCGGGAGACGGACGGCCGAGGACCAGGGAAAGUAGUCCAAGGAUGCUGUGGCCACUGAAGCAUGGAGGAGCCUGUUGCCCACCUCAGCCUGUGGAUUCUAGAGCCUUCCUCUUCAUUGAUGCAAUAAGAGCGACGCAUAUACCUAUGUUGCCAUGGUGGAAAGUACCCUCAAAUCUCACUCUCAAUGUUCUUGUUGCCGAAAAAUGAUUUCCAAUGUCAGAUCACUGCACAGAAGUAUCCUGUGGCCAAGUGAGAGCCAUGCUGGGAAGCAAUCGCAUUUUCAUGGCAAGACAGACCUCCCAACUGCUAAGCUCCUUUAGGGUAAGAGAGGAGCAGCCCUCGCUAAGAUGGAGAGACCUUUCUGGAGACAUCUAUCCCUCGGUGCACAUGGGCCAUUUCCCAUCUCAGCUGGAAUCCAGUCUAAAGCCCAAGUAGUGUUUCCUGUUACCCUAAAGAUCCCAAUUUCAGCCAGAACUGUGACAUCAGCUCUACUUUCUGGAGUAGUUU